ACUGGGGCGCUAUGGUGCCUGGAGCUGGGCAGUUUUCUCGUCAGAGUGGGGACUGAUGAUGAUUAUUCCCCACCUUCUAAGAGACAAAGACCAACGAGCCACCACAGCCACCAGUCCCAGAACCCGCCAAUGCUGGGGAACGGAAAAUGAGGGAGUUCAACUCUGAGAAAUGGAAUCAUCGUAUCGCUGAUCUACGUAAACAAACUGAAGAAUUGUCUGAAAGAAAAUAUGACAUGAACUUAUGAAUUCAACAGGUGAAGAUUUACAACUUGAUAAAUCAACUUUGUGAGCUCGAGCUGUAAAAGCCAAAGGUCUGGUGAUGAUCCCAUACCCUUUUUUCCAGUCUCAUGUUGAAGAUUUUUAUGUAGAAGGCCUUCCCAAAGGAUUUUUAGGAAGGCUUUCUACUAAUGGAAUUCCUGGCCUUGAGAGGAUGUUACUUUCGAAGGAAAGGAUUUUUUUGUUAUUAAAAGCUGGACCUACCAUGAAAGACUUCUGAAUCCAGGAAGAGAAACUGACUGGGCAACAUGUUAUUCAGAUGGGGUCUUCUUAUGUUGCCCAGGUUGGUCUCAAAUUGCUAGGCUCAAGUGAUUCCACCCACCUCUGCCUCCCACAGUGCUGGGAUUACGGGCAUGAGCCAGCGCAUCUGGCCACCUUAUUUUCAAUUACUGGCUCAAUGUAAUGGCUCCAUCUCAGGAACAGCCAAUGAAAGAGAUGCACAGGACAAGGAAGUGAGCUCACAAUGACUCAAGCUGCCACAUAGUGUUGAUUGUGAAAUGCCAGUUGAAGCAUAUGUCCUGCGAGCUUGGGGGUGCUACAAGUUGACCACUGCAGCAGUAAAGAUGACUCUGAAGAAUGGCGUGGGAUGGAUCCUUUCAAAUGCACUUGAGCAGCAGUCUCCAACCACAGGGCCACAGAGCUGGAGCUGGAUCUACCAUGAAAGACUUCUGAAUCCAGGAAGAGAGACUGACUGGGCAACAUGUUAUUCAGGCUGAAGCGAUCCUCCCAUCUCAACCUCCCACGUGGCUGAGACUACAGGUGCUUGCCACUAUGCCCAACUAAUAUUUGGAAUUUUCGUAUACGUGGAUUCCAGAGGGGUGACAGCGAAAUGUGACCUCACAGUGACUCAAGCUACCACUUACUGUUGAUUGUGACGAAAUGCCAGCUGAGGCACAUGCCUUGGGAGCUAAGUGGUUGCUGCACUUGACCACUGUGAAGACUGGUGUGGGAAGAAGGGUCGUUUCUGAUGCACUUGAGCAGGGGUCCCCAACCCCUGAGCCAUGGAGCCGCAAGGAGCCACACAGCAGGAGCUCCUACCUCCCGGCAGCCUCUCCAGGCCCAGAACUUUCUCCAGUCAGCCUCUACAGACCAAGCUCAUGACUCACAAUGGCCUAUUUAGGCCCAUACCC
rnacentral:lncRNA from 1 species